rnacentral:lncRNA from 1 species
GGAGCGAAAAGUGUUGCGGAGUCAUUACGUGGUGCACUUGCUUUCAGUAAAUUACUAGAGGUUUGCAUCAUAGCGAAAUAUGUCAGGUAAGCUGUUUUUCAUGUAUGUCUCACUACAGAUGGGCAGGCGUUCAUGGCUUACCCAUCAUUAGACGGGCGACCAAUUUCUGAGCGUCGGCAGGAUCCCCAGGGCAGUACGUACCUAUCUUCGGAGAGGGGUCGGAUUUUCGAGCAUCGGCGGGGUUCCCUGGAUGUCCCUGUAGGCAGAGCACACCCUUCUUCGGAAAGGGAUCCCGUUUCUGAGCGUUGGCAGGAUCUCCAAGGGACAAAUCUCUCAAAACCGGAAGAGAAGCGCCCCGUCGUCAUAAUUCCGGAGGAUAAAAGUGGUGAAGGUAAAUACAAAGCAGUUUUGUUUUUUGUAAAGCUGUCCGUUAGGACCUUUAUCACUUAGUAAAUAGUGGAUGCUAGUUUGGUCUUCCUGCCCAUCUCUAAGCGACGCACUGUCAUCUGGUUAGACAGAGGCUUACAUCCUUGUAUAUAAAUACCUGAUGAGAGGAUGUAAAGAAGAUCAUCCCGGCAGUGCAGAGUUUGUCCCCACAGCAUGGGUGAAAAGCAGCCCAGUAGCAGAGCCUGUCUCUCACCUACUGCCAACAUUGGUGGCUAUUUAUUCCCUUCUCCACUGGAUGCAAGAGCCAUUUGUACUUUCUCAUCAGACUGUCCGAUACUUUUGUUUAAAGGGGCACUACAAAGAGGAAUGUCCUGUGCACGACUAAUACUUUGUCUUUUUUAAUUUUUUUUGAAACUUGGCUGCAGGGAAGGUUGCAGGUUCCCUUCAAGGGAAAUGAUGAUUUACAUUCUGUGAGGACUUUCUGCCCAGGUCAGUCAGCUGCAACUUGUCAGUUAAAUUUGUGCCACCCGAAGACUCCCUGAAUAGUCUUUGCCCUAGGGAAUAUGGCACAGAGGUGUGCAGGUCCUGGGAGGCCUCAUGCCCAGUUCCCUGCAGUCAACUCCAGCAGCAAGUGGAUCCUGUCUGUGAACGAAGUACCUAUGAAGGAGCUAAACCAUCUGUCUGCAAAAGGAGGAGGAAGAUGAUUUAGGGCAUUCUAUGCUUUCUGCUGUCCUCUGCACCCCUGUGUAGAGGGCUCUACCCUCUGUUUCUCUGGGUAUUUUAAAGAACAGGGAAAACUCUUCCCCCGUUGCCUGUGAAUGGCCUCUCCCUGUCUCUUAGCAGUGGAAGGGGCGGGGGGAAGAAAGGUGCUGCAGCUUAGAGUCUUGCCAGGUCUCUCUGGUGAGGGUUGGUGUUCGCUCUCCGCUAGAUGUGGAUAUGUUGGGCAGAGCAGGAGCUCCUGCUGGCUCGGGCCAGUCCUAAAGAAAAGCAGGGGAAUCCCAUGAGUGGGAUAAGCUGCAGUGCCCAUGCUCUGUGACAGCCAGCACAUAGCAGGCAUCUGCGG